rnacentral:rRNA from 1 species
GAUGAACGCUGGCGGCGUGCCUAACACAUGCAAGUCGAACGAAGCAUUUUAGAGGAAGUUUUCGGAUGGAAUUUAAGAUGACUGAGUGGCGGACGGGUGAGUAACGCGUGGAUAACCUGCCCCACACUGGGGGAUAACAGUUAGAAAUGACUGCUAAUACCGCAUAAGCGCACAGUACUGCAUAGUACCGUGUGAAAAACUCCGGUGGUGUGGGAUGGAUCCGCGUCUGAUUAGUUAGUUGGCGGGGUAACGGCCCACCAAGACGACGAUCAGUAGCCGACCUGAGAGGGUGACCGGCCACAUUGGGACUGAGACACGGCCCAAACUCCUACGGGAGGCAGCAGUGGGGAAUAUUGCACAAUGGGGGAAACCCUGAUGCAGCGACGCCGCGUGAGUGAAGAAGUAUUUCGGUAUGUAAAGCUCUAUCAGCAGGGAAGAAGAUGACGGUACCUGACUAAGAAGCCCCGGCUAACUACGUGCCAGCAGCCGCGGUAAUACGUAGGGGGCAAGCGUUAUCCGGAUUUACUGGGUGUAAAGGGAGCGUAGACGGCGGAGCAAGUCUGAAGUGAAAGCCCGGGGCUCAACCCCGGGACUGCUUUGGAAACUGCUCUGCUAGAG